AUCCAGCUGACGAGUCCCAAGUAGGACAAGAAGCGAUUCCUGGAU
rnacentral:hammerhead_ribozyme from 1 species